rnacentral:lncRNA from 1 species
CUUCACUCAGCACUUGAAGAAGGUGGCUCUGAAGGGUGAGUAUCCUCUGAACUGGGGUGUGGGAGAGGUGGAUUACAGCUGGCUUAGCAUUGGGACUGGGGACAAUACAGCUCUGUGCCACCAGCGGGGAGAGAGAAUAAUGGAUGUGAAGGGGGGGUGGGGGCGAGGAGUCUGGACUACUGGGUUCUGUCCCUAAAACUGGUAGGAGAGUGGGAUCUAGUGGGUUAGAGCAGGGGGGUUGGGAACUAGGACUCCUGGGUUCUAUCCCCAGUUAUGGGAGGGGCCAAGCUGGGCCCUCAUUCUCCCUCUGCCCUUCCAGGGAAGAAAAUGAAUCUAGAUGGCUCCUUCUCCCUGUGGGGGCUCCUGGGCUCAGUGGACCUAGCCCGCUAUUACCGCUACCAGGGUUCCCUCACCACCCCCAACUGUGACGAAGUCGUGGUCUGGACUGUCUUCCCUGACCCCAUCCUGGUGCCUCCUGGCGUGACUCAGCUGAUAAGCUGCAGAACAACUACCAGCCUCUACAGAGCCUUGGGGAUCACCAAGUGGAGGCCUCGGCGGCCCUCCGAGUCACCCCCAGUUCCUCUUCCACCCCGCGGGCUGCAGUGUUGAUCCCUCUACUCAUCAGUAUCAUGGUAAUCACCUGGCAGCUAUAAGGGGACAGAGCCAGACACCUAGAGGCUGGGCCUAAGCAGGGGGGGUGCUGGGAGCCAGGACUCCUGGGUUCUAUUCCUGGUUCAGCCACAGACUCCCUAUGUGACUGUCAUCAAGUGCCAUCCCUGCUCUGGGCCUCAGUUUCCCCAUCUAUAAAAUAGGGAUAGAUUUUUCUCCACAAUCCUGGAGAUCAACAUUGAUCACAGUCCUCUUUGAGACUGUGUGGGAAUGCACCCUUCAACUAACCUAUCUCAGGAGGAAUGGAUUGCAAGCCCCACGCUGCCAGGAGUUUGGACUGAGUGGGCAGAGGGGGGGUGACGUUGGACUCCAUAUGCUUUUUAAAAGUAUGCUUAUGAAUGUAAAUAUGAUGUAACGGGAAUACGCUUUAUGCAAAAGGUCUCCUGUAAGGUAUCAUUACAAAGCUUAUAAUCUACUGAGUGUGGUCAUCCUAUUUGGAUGAAUGUAUCAUUCUUGUAUCUGAAGUUAGAAAUAUGAAGUAUAACUCUGAGGUCCUAUUGUAAUUAUGCAAAAUGUGCGCCAUUGAUGGUGGUUUAGAAUCUUGAUGGCUCCGGUUGUCAGAAGUCAUGGGUGUGGUGCUUUGCUCUGUUCAGUGUUGAUAACAGUCGGUUGUGUGCGAAUCUUGAUGCCUCCCAUUGACUAGGACAAUUGAUUGUAAGAUGUUUAUUUACCUGCAAGCCUUCCUGUGUACAUAUGGGCCAGCCCUUGGGUAAUGAAGAAUGAGGUCCUACAGGACAUGUGACUAUGUCACAUGAUACUUAAAUCUGAUACUUUCCCAUUUAGACAUAGGGGUGGGGACCCAGAGAGACAAAAGGUUCCCGCCUUGUGCCAAAGCUAUAAAAGGGGGUGGAACAGGACAAAGAAGGCCAGUUAUGAGAACACCCGUGUUUACCGCCUAAGGCCUCGUCCAGACUAGGGGAGGAAAAUCGAUCUUAGAUACGCAACUUCAGCUACGUGAAUAACGUAGCUGAAGUCGAAUAUCUAAGAUCAAAUUACUCACCCAUCCAGACGGCGCGGGAUCGAUGUCCGCGGCUCUCCGUGUCAAUUCCGGAACUCCGUUCGGGUUGAUGGAGUUCCGGAAUCGAUGUAAGCGCGCUCGGGGAUCAAUAUAUGGCGUCUAGACUAGACGCGAUAUAUCGAUCCCCGAGCAAUCGAUUUUAACCCGCCCAUACGGCGGGUUAGUCUGGACGUGGGCUAAGGCUGCCAGUCAUGAGAAAACUCCUGUUUACCACUUGAGAUGUCUGCUGGAACUAACAAGGACUGUACUGGGGGGAAGGAUUGGGCUCAGACCAGGAAGGAGUCUAGUCUGUGCAGUAAGCUUUUUGGAACAUCUCUGAGGGUGAAAUAUUACCUGUAAUCAGUUUCUUAAUGUAUUAGGCUUAGACUUGCGUGUUUUUGCUUUAUUUUGCUUGAUGACUUAACUUUGUUCUGCCUGUUACUACUUGAAACCACUUAAAUCCUAC